rnacentral:rRNA from 1 species
UACGGAGGGGGCUAGCGUUGUUCGGAAUUACUGGGCGUAAAGCGUACGUAGGCGGCUUUGUAAGUUAGAGGUGAAAGCCUGGAGCUCAACUCCAGAACUGCCUUUAAGACUGCAUCGCUUGAAUCCAGGAGAGGUGAGUGGAAUUCCGAGUGUAGAGGUGAAAAUUCGUAGAUAUUCGGAAGAACACCAGUGGCGAAGGCGGCUCACUGGACUGGUAUUGACGCUGAGGUACGAAAGCCAGGGGAGCAAACGGG